UACGGAGGGUGCGAGCGUUGUCCGGAAUCAUUGGGCGUAAAGGGCGCGUAGGUGGCCCGGUCAGUUCGUGGUGAAAGCGCGGGCUCAACCCUGCGUCGGCCAUGAAUACUGCCGCGGCUGGAGCACUGUAGAGGCAGGCGGAAUUCCGGGUGUAGCGGUGGAAUGCGUAGAGAUCCGGAAGAACACCGGUGGCGAAGGCGGCCUGCUGGGCAGUUGCUGACACUGAGGCGCGACAGCGUGGGGAGCAA
rnacentral:rRNA from 1 species